UACGUAGGGUGCGAGCGUUAAUCGGAAUUACUGGGCGUAAAGCGUGCGCAGGCGGUGAUGUAAGACCGAUGUGAAAUCCCCGGGCUUAACCUGGGAACUGCAUUGGUGACUGCAUCGCUCGAGUAUGGCAGAGGGGGGGUAGAAUUCCACGUGUAGCAGUGAAAUGCGUAGAGAUGUGGAGGAAUACCGAUGGCGAAGGCAGCCCCCCUGGGUCAAUACUGACGCUCAUGCACGAAAGCGUGGGGGAGCAAACAGG
rnacentral:rRNA from 1 species